AGAACAGGGAGGUUGGUGUUGGCAUGUUUUUUAAUAUAUAAAACGUGUAGGGUUUCACCCCAAGCUUUCUGUUGUCCUCGGCCGCCGCUCCUACCCGACCUCAGAAUUUAUUUUGUAACAAUAAUCUUAGUAAGUAAGAAUAACGAUAAUAAUAAGGAUGGAGGGCGGAGCAAUGUCAUUGUCGUCGGAGAGUAGGAAAGAAGAAGAGCAGCAGGGAACGUCCUAUACAUAUUGGGUGAGGCAAGUGGCGGAGGAUGCGGCGCCUCCCCCAGUUCCUCGAAAACUCUCACCUCAGGACAUUCUCUCCGCUCAAUCCCAGCCUUCAACCCUCGGUUCUCUCUGGAAUCGGGCUGGAACUUGGGAGGAGAAGAAUGUUAAUAAAUGGGCAACAGAUAGAAUAAAGGAGCUUCUUUUAUCAGUGGGUACCUUGGAGUUCUCAGGUGGCAAAGCAGAGAUAUCAGAUGUCUUCAAAUGUGUAGGAGAUGCAUUCUUGGUGACAGUGCGAAACAAGAAACGUGUUAGCUACACCUAUGAACUAACCUUGAAAGUAAAAGGGGAGUGGAUAUUUGGAGAGGAGAAAAACACAGUCAAGGGCCAGAUAGACAUCCCAGAGUUUUCAUUUGGUGAGCUAGAUGACUUGCAGAAACUCGAAUGUCACAAAUGGUGGACAAGGAGUCCACUCUUAAAGUACAAACUAAAAUAGACAUAACAUACAACCAUUCUCUAUACUACAGACACCAGACUAACAAGUGUCUUCCUAUCCAAAAAAUGGAUGAAAGACUUACACCCCUUAAAGCAACUGAAAAAAAUGCUCGGAAAGGACCAUGAACCACCUAUCCCACAAUUCCUCCACCCUUGCCCCCUGUAAUCCUCAAAGAUUCAUAUGUUCCUUUCCAUCCAAAUCUCCACAAAAUCUUGCCCCUUUUCCUUCCAGCAAAACCCACACAGCAGCCCUAAACCCUUUGAAGCAACUGAACAAUGAACUUGAACAUGAUCAACACUCUCUGCUCCGCUGAAAUGCUUUUGAGAGGCUAAGUAUAUAAUGCCCGUGUGGAUUUAAUGACUUGUGAAGGACUCUGCAUAAGAUAUGGGAUUUUUUUCUUUAGAAGUCAGGUGCUGUGGACUUGGAAAGAAAUGGAUGUCAUGGAUGAAGAUGGAAGUGAGACUAAGUGAAGAGAAGGAUAUUCUACGUCAAGAUAAGUUACGAGUUAGCAAGGAUUUGAAGCUAUUUUUGC